CACAAAAAAAAAAAUCAGGGCAAAGUGGAGUUGCACAGAGCAGCAAUUAUUUUAUCUGCAUGAAGUCUUUAUCCUUGUUCAGACUGAAUGGUCCUUUGCUUUUAUUACUGAAGUAAAAGAUUUCCAUUUAGCAUUAGAAAGCUCGAAGUACCAUGACUGAGAGCAGCCUUAGUAUGUUAAUUGAGAUGCUACAAAGCAGCAUGGAAAAACUGCAUGUAGCAGUUAUCUUUGUUGGGACUGUUCGUAGCUUGCCAGAGACUCAGAUACUCCUUCAGGGGAGAGGUACAGAUACGCAGUGGCACGAGACAAUGAUGUCCCAAUGCCUAUCCUCCUUCUCCUGAAAUGUCCUUCAGAUAGGCUAAUCACUUUAGGUAUGCUGAGGGAAAUUACAGCAUUGAAGGUGUGCAGCUGGAAUGUAAAGGGACUCUGAGGUUGAAAAGAAUCUUGAUGUUCGUUUUCUCUCCACUUAGACUAUUUCCAUUUGAAAGACGUAGAAGUUAGUGAGGGAUGGUCUAUACCAUUUAGAACAUUACAGUCCUCUAAGUCAUGGUUCUUAGCUCUUACUUUCGAUUUAAGAAGUAAUUUGGAAUAGUUAAACCACGUUCUUUUCUUCCUUAAGGUCAGUGUGAGAAUCCAACCAAUGCUUUCUCCACUGUUUUAAUAUAUCUGUCAGUGCGCCUAUUAAAAUAUUAUCAAAACAGGCUUGUUUUUCCACCUUAUUACCCUGUCUCUCAAAUAAGGAGGAUGGAAACCUGUUUUCAAGGAAUUUGCAGCCAAAUUCAAGUCUUGUCUGCUAUCUCUUGUGUCCCAUCGGGAGCAAAGAUAGGCAGACCUUUGAGACCGUGCUGUGCAUUGAUUCUUGCUCACUUUUUCUCAAACCCUUUCUUAAAAGGCAGACAUGGAUUGCAAUUGAAAUAAUGUAAUGUAUCACAGAAAUAUCAUAGAAACAUAGAAUGAGUUAGGUUGGAAGGGACUUCAAAGACUAUUUAGAUCCAGUUUUACCCACAAGCUCACAAUUCCAUCUUUUCUCAGAGGCAGCUCUUCCAAGUAACGAUCUAUCCACUUAAGGUAGGGGGCAAUGCUCCCUCUCUUCUCUGCUUAUUUCUUCUAUAAAGCUUGUACCCCUCAAUUGCAGUGUUUGUGUGAUAUGUCCCACCAGGUUUCCAUGAUAGCAAUUGCGGCAUAGUUUUCAAAUUGCACCGUGGCUUCCAUCUCCUGCUUAGUUCCCAUUCGUCCUGCAUUAGUGUAUAUGUUUAACAUGCUAGUUUCAUGGAGGUUUGCCUCCUUUAUAUGUUUUAUGAGAAGUUCCGUUAGCUAUCAAUACUAUUUUAUAUGCAGCUAGUAUUGCCUACUAAAUCAUGUCUCUAAAUACUAUGCCUACUCUUUCCUUAAAGAUCUCCAGGUCUGCAAUACUCUCAACAGGGUGUCAACUCCUUGUCCACAAAGUACCCCUUAAGCAACAAAAAUGUUCUUGGGCUGGAAAAAGCAAAAGAUCAGGAUGCCCCCUGGUCCUCACCUAUAACAACUCAAUGUUAUUAUUCCCAUACGGAGCCACCCUACUGCCCUUUCUUCCUUGCUUAUUCCUCCUAAAGAGUUUAUAGCCCUCUACUGCAGCACUUCAGUCAUGAGAAUGAUCCACCAUGUUUUGGUGAUGGCAAAUAAGUUACAGCUCUCCUGUCAGACCAUGGCUUCGAGAUUCUCCUGUUCGUUGCCUGUGUUGCACGUAAUGGUACAGAUGCACUACAUCCUGGGCUGUUAGUCUCCCAUUUGACCCUUAAGUGUUGCUUCUAGGCUCAUCUACAGUGAGCAUGAUUUUAUCCCCUUCCUACUUCAAACCGAAUUCAAAGCCCUGUCAAGCAGUCCCAACAACACCUGGGCCAGAAUCCUUUUUCCCUUUUCACCUAGGUGGACUUAAUCUGCUGCCAGCAGGCCUGGUGCUGAAUAAACUGCCUCAUGAUCAGGAAAAAAAAACAAAAAAAACAAACUCUCCAAUGACAAUAUCCUCUUAACCACUAGUUGGUCAAGUGGGUCUUCUUACUUUCUCAGUGUCUUUCCCUGCUCCAGAAGGUGGAGGAAAACACUGUCUGAACUCCCACUCCAUAAACUAACCACUCCAGUACCCUCAAGUCCCUCUUGAUAGCCCUCAGGCUUCUCCCCGCAGCCUCAUUGGGGCCUACCUGAAAUACAAGGAGCAGAGGGCCUUGUCUUGUAAAAGCAGGAAUGGAUAGUACUCGACUUGCUUUCCCAGGGAUGGUAAUCUUCUCUUGGUAUAUCAAAUGAAGGUUACCAGCAGGUGGAAAACCACCCUAGAGAGAUUAUCUGGAUGGCAAAUGAAUGCUUCAGUGCCCCUCUGUGCGGAGAGCUGGUCCUUGGUUGGACCAGCUUAACAUGGCUGUCACCAACACCCUUACCUUUUUCCAGCCCCAGAGCUCUCUGUUGCUUAGGGGGUACUUUGUGGACAAAGAGAGACUCCUACUCUGAGCAAAGAUGCAGGUCCAAUUUGCGGGCUUCUGUUGUCUGUCUCCUCAGGGCUGGAAGCUUUCUUAGCUUCGUUCACUCCCAGAGAGGUCUGUCUGUAUCAGCCCUGGAAGGGAAGGCUGUUCCUCCCAGUUCCGGUUUCCACCUCAGCUGGGGCGUUGCAGCAAGUACUCGCCCUGUUUGUUUCAAGAGAAAAGGUAGGCUGCCUGUCACCUUCCAUGCGGGCGAGCCUGCUGUGCUACUGCGCACUCGUUCCCUCUGUAGCAGCUUUUGGACUUGUGCUCCUGGCCCUGCCCGCACCUGCUCAGCUGCUCUCGUUAGCGCUGGGAGCUCGUGGAAGCUCUCUCCUUGCCUUGGGACGCCGCCUCCCCUGCAAAGCGCGGCCGCUCGCGCUGAUCGCUUCACAGCGAUCGUUACGCGGUUUAAAUUUCCCGCUUUUGCUACAUGUGGCCGCCAUGUGGUCCCUCGGCGGCUCGCAGCGGGCUGGCGGCUCCAGGCACUCUGCUCACCCUAGGGGCUCCUGGAUUUCAGGACUUCACCACAAACGCUGCAGUUUCUUCCUCUCCUGCAAGACGAGCCUGCGCCGGAGCUGAUCGCCUUAGCGUGUCGAUGUUCUUCACAAAUUCUGUGGGGCUGAGAGAAUCUAUCUGCAGUGAGAAGGGAAGAUGGCUAGUAAGUCUGAGGCUGAAAGCAAAGCCAGUGAGAAACACAUGGAGGCUGAAGAAUAUGCGCACUUGGCAGCAAUGCACUGUCUUGGAGGGCGUUUGCCUGCAUUCCCAAGGAGACUAAUUCAUCUUAGAUACAGUAUGUGUAACUUUUGGGAAGCCUGAACUGCUUCAGUGAUAAGUACGUGUCUACGCUUCUUGUGUCCUUUCACAAGUACCACGUUAAAAACAUCUUAUGAAUGUUGAAGCGCUGCUGAAGAUACUGAAAGCUUAGUCCAGAUGCCGAGACGUUACAUUCCUGAUGAUGAGAUCUGCCCACUAAAUACUCCUACAUUGCCUGCAAGACUCAAAAAUCAAGAUAACUGGGUUUUUUCUCCUGCGAAGAGGAUGUGAAAGGGAAGCCUCUGCUCAGAAAGUGCCCGUGAAUACUCAAGGCAAGCUGUAGCACUGUCUGUUCACGUAAUUAAAAUCAAACAGAAUUGUGAAUGUCCUACCAAAAGGAAUUGAUUCAUGGUAAUUAAAGGCAAUUGCCUUAUAGUUUUACAGUAGUAAUAUAAAAUCGAGACUACACCCACUCUUACGUGAAGCUAGCGUUAAUGAGAAACUCCAGUGAAGCUGAUCAUUGCCAUUCAUUGAUGAGACACAACAAAGAUAACACAGAACUCAAGGAGGCUAAUGUCUAUAGGUAAUUUGUUUUUUUUAUGGGGUGUAAUCAUCAAAUGAUACUGGUCAUUUUUCUAUUCGGGAACCCCAUAAUUAAUUUUUGUACGAACUGAAGCAUGAAGAUUGGUUCCACACUGCAUAUCGCAAAUAGCAUGUCAUGAGAAAUAUGGCUUCAUAGUCUAGUUGGAGUGUAAUUUAUUGUAGACAGUGAACAAUCCAGGUUGCCCUCGAUUUUUUAAAAAGGAUAAACUCAGGAACUGUAAGGAAAUAUUCGGUGUUGUCAAAUGGGCAGAAAAAUUCAUAGAAUUCUAUAUGAAGUGGCUUUAAGUCAAAGAUCGUGGUCAAACUUCUUGCAUUUUUCUUUGGCUAUUUCAGUGUGAACGGUUACCAUGUAAUAAUCAUGACAUUCCAUGUACAUUGAAUAAUUACUGUGACAAAGAUGUAAGGGUUAAUACAGAGAAACAAAGUGCCAGUAGAAAACUUAUCUGAGUACAAUUUUGAUAAAUAAUUAAUUCAGUUUAACUUUCAUUGUAUAGCUGAGAAUGGUUUUAAUCCAACGUCUAGGUUCAAUGAACCUCGUAGAGAUAGGCAAAUACAAAGCAUUUUGAGCCUGGAUUCAAGUUUGCACUUGUACAGUUUUAAUAUUUUAGUCUAUACCCUUGGCCAUGUACACAGCUACGGUUGACCCAUUUUUUAUACCAUAUUCCACAAAGAUAAAAUUCAUUUUGACUGCAGGGGCAGGGAACUACAGCAAGCAGUUACACAGAUAGGCAAUUUAGUCACUGAAUAACAGUUCUGCUAACCCAUGCAGAAAAGCAAUCAGAAGAUGCUCCUUUGGGCUGGUCCUGUUAUACAUCUCUGUUGAAGGGCACCGAACAAAUCAGUCCAAUUAUUAGUAGAUACUGUGGUUCUGAGCUGUGUCCUGAGCAUAACUUCAAAAGAAGAGAAAGCUUACAGGCAUAUGCAUAAAGAUUGAAGCAUUUUAACUUCCUAGCUAGGGUAGCUCAAGAGCAGGUGGUUACCUGUUUGUUUAUUGCAGCUACUUGAAAUUUAUAAGCCAAAUAACCUAACCUAUUAUGUAGCAGGAUACUGCAUAUGAAAGCCUAAAGCUAUGUAAAAUAACUCUGCCAUCCUAACACAGACAAAAUGGACAAUUUGAGAGUACUUAAUUCAUUUGAAAAAAAGCUGUGCGUAAUACUUUUGGAAUACAUGAAGCCAUUCAUACCUUAUGAGUGUGUAAACACUGAAGAGACCCUUUGCACAUGUUGAAAGUGGCAUUGAGUUAAGACUUCUCUGUACUUGUUUCUGCCUGCCUCACCCUAAGUGACCUAGGAAGAAGUGAACUUUUCCAUUAAAUUGCAAAUAUAUUUCAGAUAAAUAGGUUUUGAAGUAAGACCUAAUACCUAUCAGAUGAAAAGAUAACCUCGAGAUGCUUCGAUUUAUUUAUUUUUUUCAUGCAUGCAGAAACGUUAAUCCAUUUUUGGGAUUAGGAUUUUGGGGAUCUUGGGAUAUAAUGCAUAAAUGCAUUUUGACAAGAGACUGUUCCGUGGCUAAUUGUAAUCUUAGCGAUACUUAAGAGUAAAUGAGUGAGCACUCCUGCAGUUAACCAGCUGGAGUAAAUUAGCUGAGAAUAGUAAUUAAUUUGAUUGCUGAUUUAUCAGAGGUGCACAGUGACAUAGCUUUCUGCGUUUACUGUGGAGUUCCCCCAACUUUUAAUUAAAUCUACAUUCUGAAUGAAUCUACGUUUGUAAUAAAAUCUGCUUAAGGCAUCUGAUUUGGGAAAUAGAUUUCUACGUUCUGAUCCUCCUUAUUCUCAGUGAAGUGUUAUAUGGAAUAAAGAAAGAAAUGAGGCUAAUAAAAAAUAGUAGAUUUAUUUUCAGAUGUGCCCUCCUGUUUGAAGAGCAGAGAGUAAAGAAACAGAUGGUAUUUGUUCUGCAUCCUUUGCAAAUGCAGUAAUAAUAUCAUAAAGCUGAAUUAUUUGAAAAGUAUUAGUUUGAGAAAUCAGUGCCUCUGAAUAAUAUUUUUUAAAUUACUUUUUAUAAUGUGACAUUUCUCCCAGUGUCU